AAUCCUUGAGUAAGUGUUCAAUCCACUUAGAUCUAGAUCUAUUUGUGUUAUAUAUGUGUAUAUAUGUAUGAUUGAAGCAAGAAAACACCCCCUCUUCUCUUUCUUAGAUUUUCGAAAAUUUAGGGGUUCUCCCCUUCAAAAAUUUUUCCUAUUCUUUUCUUAAAUUGGCAUGAGAUUUAUGCUUACCAAGGUGUUUUAAGAUGAUUGCUAUGUGUGUUGAAAAGCUAUGUCAUGUGAUGCAAAUUUUUCACUUAGGUUAGUUCACCUAAAUUUGGGAUAAUUUGAUUUUACGGCUUAAGUGAUGAAUUGAUGAUUGAUAAUUGCUAUUGAGGAUAUUAAUAUGAUAUUGAUGGAUUGGAUUGAUGAUUGGAAGUGAUGGAUGGAAUUUAUGAGUUAGUUUGAUGAAAAUUAGGUAUAUGUGUCUCUAUGCUUUAAAUGGUUAAUUGAUGGUUUAUAUAUGUGAUUAAGUGGCUUAAAAUGAUAGAUCUAAGGUUAGAUUAAUGUUUCAUUUGCAUUUGUGAAGUUUCAAAAAGUCUAGUUUAUCAAAAAUCGGGACUUUCAUGUCUUUUGUGCUUUGGUUUAAGAAAAAUGUUUUUGAGGCAGCUCUGGCCUCCGAGCUGACUAUUCUGCUCUGCUCUGUCGAGUCAUUCUGCUCUGCUCUGCCGAGUCAUUCUGCUCUGCUCUGCUCGAGUCAUUCUGCUCUGCUCUGCCUGCCGAGUCAUUCUGCUCUGCUCUGCCGAGCUAUUCUGCUCUGGCGUCCGAGCUGAUUCUGCUCUGUCUGUUGAACUCACACUACUCUAGCUACCGAGUAAUCUCUGCUCUGGCCACCGAGCUGAGUCUAGCUAAUGAGUCAAAUGUUUAUGUAUUGAUGUUCUUGAGUGUUAUAAGUAGUUUAAUAUGAGUUUUGAAGUAGUUUUCAUUAAAGAAGUAAGGAGUUUGAGCAUGUUUGCUUGUAUGUUGAGUGUGGAGUCGUUUUGCAACUCUUUUGUACCUACUGUUUUCGAUGGGUUAUUGUAAUCCAAACACCAUGAAAAUUUUAUAAUAAGUAUAUAUGAGAGUCUUGAGCAUACUGGUAAAAUAUCAAGUCUUUUGGACCUUGUUUACUAUUUUUCAAAAAUCGAAAUGUGCGAUUGCUCAAAAUUGUUGAAUAUGGUAGACUGUUGGAGAACAACCAUAUCUUUUGAACUACUUGGAGUUUUUCAUCCUACUUUUUUUUAAAUAAAACUAGACUCAAAGAGGUUUCCAAUGAUAUGAGUCUCGACUGUAGUGGAGUUCUGAAGUGAAACUGGUUAAGUUUUUAAUUUUAGAAAAUGCAGAAUGAUGUUUGUAUGUGAUAUGUAUAUGUGUUUCUAUGUGCCUUAUGUGUCUAUGUAUGUCUAUGUGCUUGAUUGUUAUUAGUCUAGCCCUACUUGAGUGACAAGUCGAGAGUUGGAUUUGUGAUUUCUUAGGAUAUAUGUAUAUACUGAGGAGAUUGAGAUAGUUGGAGUAUAUAGAAGAUGAGUGAUGGGAUAUCAUUGAGAUAGGAAUGAUAUACAUAGUAAGGGAGUUCCUGACUAGUUUUAUUUAUCUUAUCUCAUGAACCACUCCGACGUUGUGACAUCUGAAGAUACGAGCAGAGGACGGAAGUAAGAUCGCCCAAGUACUACGAGAGUAAGCUAAGUUUGCCAGGUGGGCAUUAUUUUGAGUAUACAUAUUAUACGAGCUUUCUUAAAUGAUAUGAUAUUUAUGAUUAUGAUUUGAGUUAAUGUUAUGCUUGAAACUAAUUGACUUGCCGAGUUUUGUUGAUAAUGACUUGUGUGUUACCCUCUACUGAUGAGACGAAUUCGGUCCUGCCACAAGCGGGAUUUUGUGCACAGAGGUGACUGUGAGCCGUCUAUCGGGUCGGCCGGUCACGGUACUUGAGAGGGAGGCCUACUUCUCAGUACCUUUGAUGAUGAAUGGUAGAUAUGGUACAUGCAUGAUGAAUGUUUAAACUGCGCAGUUACUUUAUUGUGAUGUUAUGGUUUGCGAAAUUGCUUGCACAUGUUCGUUUAUACUAAAAUCCCUGUGUGAUGCUUAUAUUGUGGCAAGUUCAAUUUAUAGCUCUAAGAGCAAGCUUUCAUUUGUUUUUCGGCAUAUGUCCACUGAGUACUUUGUACUCAGCCCUGCAUGUAUUUCUAAAUGUGCAGGAUAAGCGAGGAGGAGGAAGAUCGGUCUGGUGCUGGCGGGGACUUAUUUUGGACGACGUUAUUUCUUUUACCGUAUUUAUACUUCA
rnacentral:lncRNA from 1 species